rnacentral:rRNA from 1 species
GAUCAUGGCUCAGGAUGAACGCUAGCGGCAGGCUUAACACAUGCAAGUCGAACGGUAACAUUGGUGCUUGCACCAGAUGACGAGUGGCGAACGGGUGCGUAACGCGUAUGCAAUCUACCUUUUACUGAAGAAUAGCCCAGAGAAAUUUGGAAUAAUCCUUCAUAAUAUCAUUUAUCAGCAUUGAUUUAUGAUUAAAGCUCCGGCGGUAAAAGAUGAGCAUGCGUCCUAUUAGUUUGUUGGUGAGGUAACGGCUCACCAAGACUACGAUAGGUAGGGGCCCUGAGAGGGGGAUCCCCCACACUGGUACUGAGACACGGACCAGACUCCUGCGGGAGGCAGCAGUGAGGAAUAUUGGACAAUGGAGGCAACUCUGAUCCAGCCAUGCCGCGUGCAGGAUGACUGCCCUAUGGGUUGUAAACUGCUUUUAUAUAGGAAGAAACACUCCCACGUGUGGGGGCUUGACGGUACUAUAUGAAUAAGGAUCGGCUAACUCCGUGCCAGCAGCCGCGGUAAUACGGAGGAUCCAAGCGUUAUCCGGAAUCAUUGGGUUUAAAGGGUCCGCAGGCGGCCUGUUAAGUCAGAGGUGAAAGCCAACAGCUCAACUGUUGAACUGCCUUUGAUACUGAUAGGCUUGAGUUAUUGUGAAGUGGUUAGAAUGUGUGGUGUAGCGGUGAAAUGCUUAGAUAUCACACAGAAUACCCAUUGCGAAGGCAGAUCACUAACAAUAUACUGACGCUCAUGGACGAAAGCGUGGGGAGCGAACGGGAUUAGAUACCCCGGUAGUCCACGCCGUAAACGAUGGAUACUAACUGUUCGACCUUCGGGUUGAGU